CUCAUUGUAAACUCUCUCCCCUCUUUCUUUCCUUUCUUGGAACUACUAGAAAGCUUAUAGAUUGAGAUCAAACUUGUGAACUCGAUAUAUCUACUUGAAAAUCAAAGAAAUUGAAGUUGACAACUUCUUCGAGGAAAGAGGAAUUUGUAAAGGCUCGACGAAUAAUUUAAGGGUACAUUUGUGGGUGAAUUAGGGUUCCAAUUGUAAUUUUGGAAUGUUUAGGCUUGUUGGGCUUAGCUGAAGUCAAGGAGGAGGUGUAAACCCGAGAGAGAGAGAAGAGGGAAAUUGAUGGGUUUUCUUUUGACAAAUUUGAGUUGUCUUCAUCAAAUUUUGUGAUUGGGUUAGAAAAAGGUUGAAGAUUAAUCAGCUAGGGAUGUAGGAGAUUCGAAGUAUGGGGUAGCUAUCAGAGAGGAAGCUAGAAUUUGGUGUUUUGGGUGUUUGCCGGUUUUAAAAAGGGAAGAAAAGGGAAUUUGGUUUAAGGGAAUUUAGUGAGGAAAAAACGAGAAAAACUAAAUGAGGGUUGAAGAAGAAGCUCGAGGAGGUCUGCACCUAAGGAUCGUGGCCAGAGAAGCAAGGAAAAAGAAAGAAAAGGGGUUGCCGGUGUUGGACAGAAAAACAGGGGCUGCUUGGUUUAAGGCAAAUUCGUAGAGUUAGAGGCUAAUUUGAAGCUCCCAAUUUGAAGGGGUACCGAGGAGUGUUUAGCUGAUUUCGGGAGUUCUAGAGCAAAUUGGACGUUGAAACUUUGCGGUAAAAUACAAACAACAAAGCAACAACACAACCAAAUACUCUCAAGUUCCAAAUCAAACAAGGAGGAAAGAGAACGUGAAACAUCUUUCCAGAUCAAAGAAUAACUUUUGAGAGGAGGUUAAAGCAGCAAUGGAAUGAGCAACUUUGCUCACUUUUCAAAAGAUGUGAACCGUGAUGGUGUUGACAUUCAACAUGCGAAAGUAAUUUGGAUCUUAGGUAUUCUAACUACAUCAAUUUUAGUGAUUAAGCAUGCAUGACCAUUGUUCUAGAAAUUAGGGUUUAGAAAGACAAUUUUUGAAGAAAUCCCAAGUUGCUCCAAUCUACUGAUGUUAUCAACUCACGAGCUAGUUGUAGAC